rnacentral:piRNA from 1 species
UAUGACUAGUGCAAAUUUCUG